rnacentral:misc_RNA from 1 species
UUUUGGAGUUCAAUUUGUGAUGAGGAGAUAGACAUCUUGGAAGAAUAUGGAGGUGAUUUCACAGGGGAUUCUGAUGUCCCUUGUUUUUAUUUUAUCAAGCAGGCACUCCCUGCUCUUAUCCCAAUGUUGUUGGAGACCCUUCUUAAGCAAGAGGAUGAUCAGGAUCAGGAUGAAGGGGCUUGGAACAUUGCAAUGGCAGGGGGCACAUGCCUUGGCUUGGUUGCACGCACCGUGGGAGAUGAUAUUGUGCCACUGGUCAUGCCAUUCAUUGAAGAAGAUAUAACAAAGCCAGAUUGGAGGCAAAGGGAGGCAGCCACAUAUGCUUUUGGCUCUAUCUU